UACUACCCUCUAGAAUUUGUUUUUCUCUACUAUUUGUCUUCUCCCGCUACAACGUGGGUUUCAAGACAUUUCUCUUCUGCUGUGCUAUCAGCUGCAUCUCCAGGGCCUGGCACAUGGCAGGUGCUCCAUGAAUACAUGAAUGAAUGAAGGGAUGGGUGAAUGAGGAAACAAAUGGUGGUCUGAAAGGUAUAAUCCACACAGCGCCAUAGUAGUCGAAACAUGCCAUUUCAGCCAAGGGCUAAGACGUGCUCACAGAAACCUAAUGCAGAAGGAACAAACAAAUCUCCAGCUCUUGACAACCACUCUGGCAUUGGCAGGUGUAUCUCUAUUUUACAGGUGAAGUUGCCCAAACUGAACGUGGCUGCAUUCACUCUCCUUGGAGACACCGGCCAGUGUACUUCUCCCAGCAGGGCAGUGGCACACAGGAUAGGCUGCCUUCAUCUACGAGGGGCGAGCCCGGAGUACAAGUGUUUAUGGAAACUUGGACACCUCUAGGAUCUCAUUAAGAUGGUUUCCCAAAAAGGCCAACAUAGCUCUGCAGUGUGCUGAGGGUCUAUGGGCAGGGAGGCAGGCAGGAAAAUCACUGAAAACAGAGACAUCUGGGAAAGUGUGGUCAACAAACCAAGUCUUUGUCCCUGCUUGCAACAGAAGGAGAGUCCUCAGUAGCUUCAAACUGUAAUUCUUAAUUGCUCUCACUUUGAAUAUUUGAAAGAAAUAAAAGUAACAGAGAAUAGCUUUGAGUUUCUCUGAGUAAGUCAAGCAGAAAUAAGAUGAAGCCAGAAUUAGCCACAUUUUCUCAUUUUGUAAUAAUCGGUUGAAUUGCGGUAGCUAUAGAAAGUCUCUCAAUAUGCACAUGCACCGUUUGAGCGUUCUACCUGAAUCUUAAAAAUGUCUAGGCCACCAAAAACUUUAUAUCCCUUCUUUUCCAAACAGGAAGCAAUAAUAAAAGGUAAGAGGAAAGAGCUGUAUAAUGACAUGUGAGGUAUUUUCCAACUGGCACACAGGGUCAAUUUUGGUAAUAAUUCAUUGUCAAAUUUCUGAACUAAUGGUGAGGCAGCAGCUUGGACCAGCCUGGCAGAUCUCUCCACUAAAGCUUGGUCAGCUCUGGGAGGAAGACGCCCGAGUCCCCCGAUGACCCCAGUGACUCCAGAUGGAUGUGUUUGCUUCCAGCUGUACAACCAGACAUGCUGUUCCUUCUGCACUAAACACAGGCCCUGAACCUCAGCCAAGAAAUAUUCCACUGUCACCUGAUUAACACCCAGAGUUAAAUCUCUCCACAGCUAAAUAUGCUUUCACCAUCACAUCUGAAAAAUAGCUACCACCACCAUGGCCUGCCCAAGGGGAAGAGGGGGCUUCAUAAGCAGGACUCUGCCUGGGUGGGUGGCUCCCCCAUUGAUGGCCAAGGCCCACCCUUAGGACUAAGUGGAAUCUAACAAAACAAGUUUCUUCCCUAAGUUCUAUCUUAGACUUGGGCCCACCCAGACCUGCUGCAUAAAGCUCUCUGGGACUGCGACCCGGAGUGUUCAGAUGAUUCUAAUGUUCACUGAAGUUUCUAAGCCACUGGCCCAGGCUACCCCAAAUGGAAAGGUAGAAGUGAAGAGACAGGAAAGGAAUGUGAAAAGCCGAGGAAAGGCAGCGUAUUGUAGCAUGGUGGAGGAAGGGCAGGCGGGAGUGGACAGUUCAGGACAGCCUAUGGGGAGCAGUGCGAGGCAUCUGUCUCCCUGAGUAACAGGAAAAUGAAGACAGAAGCAGUCUGAGGUCACAAAGGGCUCAGUGGAGGGUGCUCCAGUUUGGUGAAAAGAGAACCCAUCCUUCACCUACUCGGUAUGCUGGAUCAUGACUGCCCAUGGGGGUGACAUGUGAGGGGAAAGAAGAAGAGCAGGGGGAGCCAAAGGCAGAAAUGGUCAUACAAGUACAUGGUGGGCACGUUUUGUUUCCCACUGGACAAACUUGAGGCUAGGACACAGGUGAGAGGCUUGGACACAGCGCGCAUGAAUGCCAGUUCUUUGCCAAUGUCACCUGCAUUUUCAGCUGAUCCUAGAUGGAGACAUUUUCAGUCCCUACUUGUCUCUUGAAGAUGGAAAAUCAUACAGCAGGAAUUCCAGCAGCAUGCUUCAAACAAAAUCUCUCUGCAGGAAAGAAUGGGUGAGGUUUGGUAAAAUGUGCUGCAUACACAA